AUUGAACGCUGGCGGCAUGCUUUACACAUGCAAGUCGAGCGGCAGCGCGGGGGCAACCCUGGCGGCGAGCGGCGAACGGGUGAGUAAUGCAUCGGAACGUACCCUGGAGUGGGGGAUAACGCCGCGAAAGCGGCGCUAAUACCGCAUAUGCUCUGAGGAGGAAAGUGGGGGACCGCAAGGCCUCACGCUCUGGGAGCGGCCGAUGUCCGAUUAGCUAGUUGGUGGGUAAAGGCUUACCAAGGCGACGAUCGGUAGCUGGUCUGAGAGGAUGAUCAGCCACACUGGGACUGAGACACGGCCCAGACUCCUACGGGAGGCAGCAGUGGGGAAUUUUGGACAAUGGGGGCAACCCUGAUCCAGCCAUGCCGCGUGAGUGAAGAAGGCCUUCGGUUGUAAAGCUCUUUGUCGGUAGAAGACGCUGCCUAAUACGCGAGGUGGUUGACGGUACGGCAGAAUAAGACACCGGC
rnacentral:rRNA from 1 species